rnacentral:rRNA from 1 species
AGCAGCCGCCGCGGUAAUACGAAGGGGGCUAGCGUUGCUCGGAAUUACUGGGCGUAAAGGGAGCGUAGGCGGGUCGUUUAGUCAGAGGUGAAAUCCCGGGGUUCAACCUCGGUACUGCCUUUGAUACUGGCGACCUUGAGUAUGGGAGAGGUGAGUGGAACUCCGAGUGUAGAGGUGAAAUUCGUAGAUAUUCGGAAGAACACCAGUGGCGAAAGCGACUCACUGGCCCAUUACUGACGCUGAGGCUCGAAAGCGUGGGGAGCAAACAGGAUUAGAUACCCCCGUAGUCCCUGUCUCUUAUAA